UUGUAAAGCACUUUCAGUCGUGAGGAAGGUAGUGUAGUUAAUAGCUGCAUUAUUUGACGUUAGCGACAGAAGAAGCACCGGCUAACUCCGUGCCAGCAGCCGCGGUAAUACGGAGGGUGCGAGCGUUAAUCGGAAUUACUGGGCGUAAAGCGCAUGCAGGUGGUUUGUUAAGUUCAGAUGUGAAAGACCCGGGGCGUCAACCUCGGAAUAGCAUUUGAAACUGGCAGACUAGAGUACUGUAGAGGGGGGUAGGAAUUUCAGGUGUAGCGGUGAAAUGCGUAGAGAUCUGAAGGAAUACCGGUGGCGAAGGCGGCCCCCUCGGACAGAUACUGACACUCAGAUGCGAAAGCGUGGGGAGCAAACAGGAUUAGAUACCCUGGUAG
rnacentral:rRNA from 1 species